GGGCGGGAGAGGUCUGAGGUACUACAGGGCUAGGGGUGAAAUCUGAUAAUCCUUGUAGGACCACCAGUGGCGAAGGCGUCAGACUGGAACGCGCCUGACGGUGAGGGACGAAAGCCAGGGGAGCGAACCGGAUUAGAUACCCGGGUAGUCCUGGCCGUAAACGAUGCAUACUAGGCAAUGGUGCGGCUAUGAGCCGCAUCAGUACCGUAGGGAAACCGUUAAGUGUGCCGCCUGGGAAGUACGGUCGCAAGGCUAAAACUUAAAGGAAUUGGCGGGGGAGCACCACAAGGGGUGAAGCCUGCGGUUCAAUUGGACUCAACGCCGGGAAACUUACCAGGGGAGACAGCAGAAUGACAGUCAGGUUGACGACCUUACUCGACGAGCUGAGAGGAGGUGCAUGGCCGUCGCCAGUUCGUGCUGUGAGGUAUCCUGUUAAGUCAGGCAACGAACGAGAUCCGCGCCUUUAUCUGCCAUCAAGAAGUCACGACUUUGUUGGGAACAAUAAAGGGACCGCCGUCGAUAAGACGGAGGAAGGAGCGGGCAAAGGCAGGUCAGUAUGCCCCGAAACCCCUGGGCUACACGCGGGCUGCAAUGGUGCGAACAAUGGGCUGUAACUCCUGAAAGGAGAAACCAAUCCCUGA
rnacentral:rRNA from 1 species